GAAGAAAGAGACUGGGAGAGAUGAACAAUGCCUCUCUUCAGUUUUCUGAUGUGAUUCCUUCCUUUACUCUGAAGAUCCUGCUGUUGGGUAAACUCUCACCAUCACCCUGCUGCAACUCCUCCCUGCCACCUACUUGGAUUACCACCCUCAUCUCAAAGCCAGCCCUGGGACACCAGCCUCCUGUUGCUGCAACUGCAGGCCCAGAUGAUUCUUCUGGGAAGAGACCCUUUCAUGGGGACUAA
rnacentral:lncRNA from 1 species